GCAGACGGCGGAGAGCUGGGAUGGAGCGCGCCUUGGCCCGCUGGCCUUGGCUGCAGCUCCUCGGGAGAGCCGGGGCGCCCACGCGAGAACCUCCCUACCUGAGGACGCUGGGAACACGGAUUCCUGGAUCCCACCAGCCUACGAAGAAAGCCACGGGCGGCGACCCCUGGGACCAGGACGACCAAGGAGGAGGACGACCAGAACUGACCAGCCAGCCCCCUUGGCUAAAGGCUUAGACCUGUGCCCUAGUGAGGGGGCAUUGGUCGCCAACCCCUGACCUUUGCUAUGCUUCUGCCUUGUUGCUCUGAUACUUGCCUCUAUGUCUCUGCCUGUGUUAACCUGCCAGCGCCCUGGAGGGUUGCCAUCCCCAGGGAGGUGUCAGUCUUUCUCGCUCCACUUGUUGUCGCCCGAAUGACGUCCUGAACGGAAGGGUCCCUUUGGGAACGUCUCGGGAGGCCGACCUGGGCCAAGGGCACAACCAGCAUCUCACUGGCAAUUCCAAGGCCCUGGGUGGGCUUCUGGAAUGAGCAUGAGCCCCGACGUCAUGCCACAGAACUGCCAGGGGCACCCCCCCUCCUUUGAGCUCUCCCUGUCCCUCCUGGGGGGACAGGGACGAGAAGAGCAGUCUCCCAGGGGGUUGUGAGUAUUGAAUGAGAUGAAGUCGCCUCGGGCAGGGCCAGGCAUAGAGGAGGCAGUCGGCAAAUGUUUGUUGAUAAAGUUUGGCCGAUCAGUCAGUCCAGCCCCGGCCCGCUCCCGUGUCUCACCGUCUCAUUUAUUCUCCCACAGCACUCCGGAUGGCCCCUGGCCACGGGGCUCUGCCCGCACCAGCCAAGCUUCUCGAAAGGUCUGUCUUCACUCGCUGGCUUCCUUGCUCACCUCCAAUGUCCUCUCCAACCCACUGCUUCUUGACCUCUGCGCCGUCGAGCGGCUCUCGCGAAGGUCUCCUUCUGGAGUUGGGAAAGCCAAGCCGCAGGUCGGCCUGUCCUCGACACACUGGCAGCGAGCGUCGGCUGAAGAACCGGAUGGAAGAGGCGGGAGAGUCACCACGGACUGGCGUUCCUUCAGGUCGGUCGCCUGGCGUCUUCGGGCUGCGACUCCUUCCCGGAUCGGGCUGAAGCCAUCAUCUGUGUCCUCCGUCGGAAGGGACCUCAGACAUGUGGCUCCUGCACCCUCCAGCUCUGAAAUCGGCAGGCUAGGAUGCAAGUGGCCUUGCUGGGGGGCCCUUCCAAGGGCCGAGGGACCAGCCUCUCGAACGGGCUCGGCGCUCCAGUGACCUUCGCGUCCCCCUCCUCCUUGAAUUGUCUGGAAAACAGAAUGGACAGAUUUUCUGUCUUCAAAGUUUCCGGCUAAACCUCUUCAAAGUUCUUUAUUGUUUGGGACUGAGACACUCAGCAGUGCUAAUGGGUAGUUCCUUUUGUAUUUGCCCUGAAAGGCCAAAAUAUUUUUAUAUCGCUCCAG
rnacentral:lncRNA from 1 species